GACGAACGCUGGCGGCGUGCUUAACACAUGCAAGUCGAGCGAUGAAGUUCCUUCGGGAAUGGAUUAGCGGCGGACGGGUGAGUAACACGUGGGUAACCUGCCUCAUAGAGGGGAAUAGCCUUCCGAAAGGAAGAUUAAUACCGCAUAAGAUUGUAGUAUCGCAUGAUAUAGCAAUUAAAGGAGGAAUCCGCAAUGAGAUGGACCCGCGUCGCAUUAGCUAGUUGGUGAGGUAACGGCUCACCAAGGCGACGAUGCGUAGCCGACCUGAGAGGGUGAUCGGCCACAUUGGGACUGAGACACGGCCCAGACUCCUACGGGAGGCAGCAGUGGGGAAUAUUGCACAAUGGGGGAAACCCUGAUGCAGCAACGCCGCGUGAGUGAUGACGGUCUUCGGAUUGUAAAACUCUGUCUUCAGGGACGAUAAUGACGGUACCUGAGGAGGAAGCCACGGCUAACUACGUGCCAGCAGCCGCCGUAA
rnacentral:rRNA from 1 species